rnacentral:rRNA from 1 species
GAUGAACGCUGGCGGCGUGCCUAAUACAUGCAAGUCGAGCGAACAGAUAAGGAGCUUGCUCCUUUGACGUUAGCGGCGGACGGUUGAGUAACACGUGGGUAACCUACCUAUAAGACUGGAAUAACUCCGGGAAACCGGGGCUAAUGCCGGAUAACAUUUAGAACCGCAUGGUUCUAAAGUGAAAGAUGGUUUUGCUAUCACUUAUAGAUGGACCCGCGCCGUAUUAGCUAGUUGGUAAGGUAACGGCUUACCAAGGCAACGAUACGUAGCCGACCUGAGAGGGUGAGCGGCCACACUGGAACUGAGACACGGUCCAGACUCCUACGGGAGGCAGCAGUAGGGAAUCUUCCGCAAUGGGCGAAAGCCUGACGGAGCAACGCCGCGUGAGUGAUGAAGGUCUUCGGAUCGUAAAACUCUGUUAUUAGGGAAGAACAAAUGUGUAAGUAACUGUGCACGUCUUGACGGUACCUAAUCAGAAAGCCACGGCUAACUACGUG